rnacentral:rRNA from 1 species
UACGGGGGGAGCAAGCGUUGUUCGGAUUUACUGGGCGUAAAGGGCGCGUAGGCGGUCGUGACAAGUCACUUGUGAAAUCUCCGGGCUUAACUCGGAACGGUCAAUUGAUACUGAUGUGCUAGAGUGCAGAAGGGGCAAUCGGAAUUCUUGGUGUAGCGGUGAAAUGCGUAGAUAUCGAGAGGAACACCUGCGGCGAAGGCGGGUUGCUGGGCUGACACUGACGCUGAGGCGCGAAAGCCAGGGGAGCGAACGGG